UAUCUCUGUAGAGUCUGCAUAUCAAUAAGCGGAGGAAAAGAAACUAACAAGGAUUCCCUUAGUAACGGCGAGUGAAGCGGGAAGAGCUCAAAUUUGAAAUCUUCAAGGUUCUACCUUGACGAAUUGUAGUUUAAAGAAGUGUUUUCUGUUAGAUGAGUAGCAAAAGUUCCUUGGAAUGGGACAUCAUAGAGGGUGAGAAUCCCGUAUUUGGUUAUUCAUUCUAGCUUUGUGAUACACUUUCAAGAGAGUCGGAUUGUUUGGGAAUGCAGUCCAAAAUGGGUGGUAAAUUUCAUCUAAAGCUAAAUAUUGGCGAGAGACCGAUAGCGAACAAGUACCGUGAGGGAAAGAUGAAAAGAACUUUGAAAAGAGAGUUAAACAGUACGUGAAAUUGUCAAAAGGGAAGCGUUUGACACCAGUGUUGUUUUUCCGAAAAUCAAUUACGAAUGGCUUGAUUUUGUGUUGUAUUGACCUUAUCAGCUUUCUUCACUUUUUUCGAGUCUUUCUUAAUGCACUUUUCGGUUAACAAGUCAACAUCAAUUUCUUUUGUUGUAAAAGAGUAUUCGGAAGGUGGCUUUCUUUUCGGAGAAAGUGUUUAUAGCCCUAUACUUCUACAAUCGGAGAGAUUGAGGUCUGCAGCGUAGAUCCUUCGGGGUUAGAUACACUUGUGCUAAGUUGUAGCUUUUCAUAGACAACUUGUUGACUAUGUUUAGUCAUGCGGCUUACUCGCUUGUGCUAUUUUACCUACGCUUAGGAUGUUGACUGAUAUGUAGUCGUA
rnacentral:rRNA from 1 species